GCCUUACAACCUUUAUAUCCCUUCUUUUAUCUUUACACUUUCUACCAUUUUUUUCUCUGUUCUUGUUGUUGAAGAUGUUACGUAAGGCACGGAUGAGCGUUCUUGUUGUCAAAUGAUUUUGAGAUGACGGAUUAGCGUUUUUAUCUAAUAUUCGUCUUUGCAUGGUUUUUAAUGUUAUUGGGACGGAAGUGGAGAUUUCAUAAGUAUAUAACAACUGCAUCAAUUAACGAUUUUGCAUUUAUGUGAAACUUGAUGUAUGUAAAGAGCAUGUUGAAGUUCGACACGUUGCUAAAGGCUUUCAAUUGCAUUAAUAGACGAUGAUGCAACUACUACCGUCAUUGUUGACAAUAGGAGCUGUAGCACUGGUUUUGGGCCUGUGAAUUUGACGACUUUUGAGGUAAGAGAUCUGAAGUAAGAGGUCAUAGAUGACAAUUUUAUGGCCCUAGAGAAUUUUGCCAAGGUCAAAGGUGACAAUUUUAUGGCCCGACAUUUGAGCUUGGAGAAUCUGCUUGAUCUCAAAAGUGGACAAUAUCAUACCAUUGUGAAGAGUCGUGAUUCUUGAGAAGAACAACCAUUGUCCCAAAGCGGCUUCUCCUUUCAGAACUAUGUUGCUACUCUAAGUUGGCCAUGGAGACAAUAUUCAACCGUUGUGUUUACGGAGUCAUUUCUAAAUGACUAACCUAGACCCAACAAUUUUUAUGCUGAGUUCAAUAAUCGAGGUCCGGGUGUAGAUGUGACAUGCAAAGUAAUAGGCAUCAAAAGAGAGGCUUUUCAUUUCAGAAUUGCAGCAUAAUGGCCGAUCAAGAAAUAAACAUAAUUUCAAAGUUUUAUCUUGACCAUCAUUGGAGAGACAUUUCAACGCCCACCAUUUUCAAAUUUUUAGUCGCUCGUGCAAAAUAGUCAACCUAGUGAACUGAGUCAGCUCUAAACUUAAUAUCGCAUGAUUACCGGAAACUGGUGUACCCUUUAGACCUGUGAAUUGGUCUUAUAAGAGGGAUUAAGAGACAAUGUAAGUAUCGUUUAUUGAAAAUUCAAACGGAUAAGUUUAUUGAUAUUGUAUUAAUCAAUGGGUACAUGGGAAUGAACUAUUACAUUUAA